GACGAACGCUGGCGGCGUGCUUAACACAUGCAAGUCGAACGGAAAGGCCUGCUUUCCCUUGUGGAUUGCGGGUACUCGAGUGGCGAACGGGUGAGUAACACGUGAGUGAUCUGCCCCCAACUUGGGUAUAAGCCUGGGAAACUGGGUCUAAUUCCCGAUAGGACUGCAGGGUGGUGCCUGUGGUGGAAAACGAUUUUCUAGUGGUUGGGGAUGAGCUCGCGGCCUAUCAGCUUGGUGGUGGGGUAAUGGCCUACCAAGGCGGCGACGGGUAGCCGGCCUGAGAGGGUGGACGGGCACAUUGGGACUGAGAUACGGCCCAGACUCCUACGGGAGGCAGCAGUGGGGAAGAUUGCACGAUGGGCGGAAGCCUGAUGCAGCGACGCCGCGUGGGGGAUGACGGCCUUCGGGUUGUAAACUCCUUUCGGCCGCGAGGAAGCCACCUGGUUGGAAGGGUGGUGACGGUAGUGGUAGAAGAGGCACCGGCUAACUACGUG
rnacentral:rRNA from 1 species